rnacentral:rRNA from 1 species
GUAACAUGGAUUGCUUGCAAUCUGAUGACGAGUGGCGCACGGGUGCGUAACGCGUAUGCAAUCUACCUUUUACAGGAGAAUAGCCCAGAGAAAUUUGGAAUAAUGCUCCAUAAUAUCAUUUAUCAGCAUUGGUUUAUGAUUAAAGCUCCGGCGGUAAAAGAUGAGCAUGCGUUCUAUUAGCUAGUAGGUGAGGUAACGGCUCACCUAGGCUACGAUAGAUAGGGGCCCUGAGAGGGGGAUCCCCCACACUGGUACUGAGACACGGACCAGACUCCUACGGGAGGCAGCAGUGAGGAAUAUUGGACAAUGGAGGAAACUCUGAUCCAGCCAUGCCGCGUGCAGGAUGACUGCCCUAUGGGUUGUAAACUGCUUUUAUAUAGGAAGAAACACUCCCACGUGUGGGGGCUUGACGGUACUAUAUGAAUAAGGAUCGGCUAACUCCGUGCCAGCAGCCGCGGUAAUACGGAGGAUCCAAGCGUUAUCCGGAAUCAUUGGGUUUAAAGGGUCCGCAGGCGGCCUGUUAAGUCAGAGGUGAAAUCCUACAGCUCAACUGUAGAACUGCCUUUGAUACUGAUAGGCUUGAGUUAUUGUGAAGUGGUUAGAAUGUGUGGUGUAGCGGUGAAAUGCUUAGAUAUCACACAGAAUACCCAUUGCGAAGGCAGAUCACUAACAAUAUACUGACGCUCAUGGACGAAAGCGUGGGGAGCGAACGGGAUUAGAUACCCCGGUAGUCCACGCCGUAAACGAUGGAUACUAACUGUUCGACCUUCGGGUUGAGUGGUCAAGCGAAAGUGAUAAGUAUCCCACCUGGGGAGUAC